GGGUCAGUAGGUUGGUCGUGCCACCGGUACGUACUGGUCUCACUGACUCCUCCUUCCUGAAGAACCGUAAUGCCAUUAAUUUGGUGUUGCGGGGAAACAGGACUGUUACUUUGAAAAAAUUAGAGUGUUUAAAGCAAGCUAGCGCUUGAAUACAUUAGCAUGGAAUAAUGAAAUAGGACGAUCGAUCCUAUUUUGUUGGUUUCUAGGAUUGACGUA
rnacentral:rRNA from 1 species